rnacentral:rRNA from 1 species
UACGGAGGGUGCAAGCGUUAUCCGGAUUCACUGGGUUUAAAGGGUGCGUAGGUGGGUUGGUAAGUCAGUGGUGAAAUCCCCGAGCUUAACUUGGGAACUGCCAUUGAUACUAUCAGUCUUGAAUAUUGUGGAGGUUAGCGGAAUAUGUCAUGUAGCGGUGAAAUGCUUGGAUAUGACAUAGAACACCAAUUGCGAAGGCAGCUGGCUACGCAUAUAUUGACACUGAGGCACGAAAGCGUGGGGAUCAAACAGG